rnacentral:rRNA from 1 species
CCUACGGGGUGCAGCAGUGAGGAAUAUUGGUCAAUGGACGAGAGUCUGAACCAGCCAAGUAGCGUGAAGGAUGACUGCCCUAUGGGUUGUAAACUUCUUUUAUAUGGGAAUAAAACGUUCCACGUGUGGGAUUUUGUAUGUACCAUAUGAAUAAGGAUCGGCUAACUCCGUGCCAGCAGCCGCGGUAAUACGGAGGAUCCGAGCGUUAUCCGGAUUUAUUGGGUUUAAAGGGAGCGUAGGUGGAUUGUUAAGUCAGUCGUGAAAGUUUGCGGCUCAACCGUAAAAUUGCAGUUGAAACUGGCAGUCUUGAGUACAGUAGAGGUGGGCGGAAUUCGUGGUGUAGCGGUGAAAUGCUUAGAUAUCACGAAGAACUCCGAUUGCGAAGGCAGUUCACUGGACUGCAACUGACACUGAGGCUCGAAAGUGUGGGUAUCAAACAGGAUUAGAUACCCCUGUAGUC